rnacentral:lncRNA from 1 species
GAGAAUUGGGGAAGGUUGGAGUGUUAGGAGGAGAUAACCAUGAGAAUAUCAGUGGCAAUGAAGGGUGUGGCGGUGGCGGUGGAAAUACAAAUGGUGGUAGAUCAGGUGGUGGUGGUGAAGGAACUGGUGGAAGUGGAGAAAGGACUAGCGGAGGGGAUGGGGAUGGUGGAGGUGGAGAUGCUACUAGAAGCGGUGGAGGGGAAGCAAUGACUAGUGGGGGCGGUGAAGGGAU